GUAGCAAUACUUGGUGGCGACCGGCGCACGGGUGAGUAACGCGUAUGCAACUACCUAUCGAGAGGGGAAUAACCCGGCGAAAGUCGGACUAAUACCGCAUAAAACAGGGGCACCGCGAUGGUGAUAUUUGUUAAAGAGAUUCGCUGAUAGAUGGGCAUGCGUUCCAUUAGGUAGUUGGUGAGGUAACGGCUCACCAAGCCGACGAUGGAUAGGGGAACUGAGAGGUUGGUCCCCCACACUGGUACUGAGACACGGACCAGACUCCUACGGGAGGCAGCAGUGAGGAAUAUUGGUCAAUGGGCGGGAGCCUGAACCAGCCAAGUCCGCGUGAAGGAAGAAGGAUCUAUGGUUCGUAAACUUCUUUUGCAGGGGAAUAAAGUGCAGGACGUGCCCUGUUUUGUAUGUACCCUGAGAAUAAGGAUCGGCUAACUCCGUGCCAGCCGCCGC
rnacentral:rRNA from 1 species